rnacentral:rRNA from 1 species
AGUGAACGCUGGCGGUAGGCCUAACACAUGCAAGUCGAACGGCAGCACAGUAAGAGCUUGCUCUUACGGGUGGCGAGUGGCGGACGGGUGAGGAAUACAUCGGAAUCUACUUUUUCGUGGGGGAUAACGUAGGGAAACUUACGCUAAUACCGCAUACGACCUACGGGUGAAAGCAGGGGAUCUUCGGACCUUGCGCGAUUGAAUGAGCCGAUGUCGGAUUAGCUAGUUGGCGGGGUAAAGGCCCACCAAGGCGACGAUCCGUAGCUGGUCUGAGAGGAUGAUAAGCCACACGGGAAAUGAGAAACGGGCCAGACUCCUACGGGAGGCAGCAGGGGGGAAUAUUGGCAAAGGGGGGCAAGCCUGAUCCAGCCAUACCGGGGGGGUGAAGAAGGCCUUCGGGUUGUAAAGCCCUUUUGUUGGGAAAAAAAAGCAGCAGGUUAAAACCCCGCUGUUCUGACGGUACCCAAAGAAAAAGCCCCGGCUAACUUCGU